GGCUCGGUAGCUUAGUUGGUAAAGCGCUCGUUUAUCAUACCAGAGUGCUGGGUUCGCAUCCUAGACGAGCAC
rnacentral:tRNA from 1 species